rnacentral:lncRNA from 1 species
CUGGUGGUGGCUGGACUCAUUAUGCAAUAUGGUUUCUGAGGGCCAAUUACUGGAGUGAAGGGCUAGUUAAGAUGGCCAUUAGAUGGGGUCCAGAUGGCUUGAAAGAUGCUGUCCCAGCCCAUAAGACAGAGAAAGAAAUCAGACUCAAGCGUACCUAACUCAAAACACAACAGUUAACAACCAACUUCUUUACUUCAAAGUAGCACGAAACUGGACUCCUGAACUUGGUCAUUUGUGCCCUGCAUGUGGUCAACUCUAUGUUGCCAGGAAGUCUGCUAAGCAGGAGUAGACCUCACCCACCCACCCAUGUGGCCUGCACAUUUCGGUUAUCUUCAUAUAGCAGAACACUUACAGGGAUGGGCUCCAGAGCUGGAAUACCUGGAUUCUACCACUGUGUGACCUUGAGAAAGCUCACACUCCCAGCUAAGUGUGCCAGCUUCCUCCUUGGUAACAUGCAGAUAAUCUUAGCUUCUAGCUCAGGGUUAUUGGGAAAGUCAAUGAACUAAUGCAUGCUAAGGACUUAUAGAACAAUAUUCAAUAAACACAAGUUAUUUUGAGCCACUCAGACCUAAUACCAUAGAUGAUGACUUGAAACCAUCCUGUGUGAGGGAUGGUGUAAGAUGGCAGGGUUUGGGGUAUUCCAGAAGCUCAGCUGCCAACAUGAAAUGAUGGGCCCAAGGCAAGUCGGACACAGUUCCUUUGCAAUCCUGUUCCAACUAUGACAUGGAAUCAUGGACCCAGAUGCUGCCCAAUCUGCUGGCCCAGCUUGGCUUCACUAGUAACCCAAGAUCACCCAGGAAGAUCAAAGAAAACCCAUCCUUGUCCAGCCAGAGAUUGCUCAAGAGGCCAGUGACUUUUCCAUCAGGGAACGGAAUAUUCAUUUGAUGGUUAGCCCUGAAGAAGAACACAGAACUGAACUCUUCCCUCCAACAUAUAUUAAGGACCAACAAUACACCAAAGCUGGGUAACCAAGGAGCCAGGAUGCAGAAAUGAAGACCUGAUCACAGUAUUAAAGAACUUGAUGUCCGGUGGGGGAAAGACCUGAAAAUCCACAGAAAAUUAUAUGGGGCUAUUAAUUUGUUUAUUGUUCUCAUAAGAAUUUGACAGGAUUAUAAAAAAGAACAAUGUAAUUUUACAAAUAAUCUUGUCAAACAUGUGUCUUAAUUCAUUUUUAUCUUUACAUAUAAAUAAAUUGUCUCAAUGAAAAAAAAUGUAAAAGAACAAUAAAAACAUGAACAAUGGAGAGAUGAAAUGAAAUGUAAAAUAUAUAAAUGCAUGAAUAGGAUGAAAUGUGGGGAAAAAGGAGACACUAGAGAAUAAGAUGUGGCAGGGGGUUAGAUUAGUGGGUAGAAUCAAGAGAUGGGCUUUAGAGCCUUGGCUCCUCCUCUUCCAAACACUGUGAGCUUGAGAAGGAUAGUCUACCUUGCUAUGUCUCUGCUUCCACAUCGAUAAAAUGAACAAAAAAAUGAUGGGGAUUUUGAGAUGAAUGAGUGACAGCACAACUACAAAGCACCUUGUAGAUAGUAGUUGCUUAUUAGAGGUGGGAGCAUGAUUUCCAUGGUGGGCUAAUGGUACUAAGCCUGAGAUCACAAUGCAUUGCCAUCUGCCUCUCCUCCGGAAACUACUCCUAACAGUAAGAAACAGGACAUUGCUUUAUUAAUACCUGAUAGUAUUUGAUAACCCAGCCAGUGUUCAAUGACACCAAAUGCUGAAUUGUCUGAUAGAGUUGACUUGAUCUUGGGACAUCAGUGAGCCUCCUGCUCCUAUACCCUAAUGACAAAUUCCCAGUUAGACUCACUUCCUCAUUUUGGAUAAGGAGGAGUCAGAAGAGGAAACAAAAAGAAAGGAAGAAAAAAAAAGAAGAUACCUGUUUCAGGCCACCCUGUAGAGGAUGACUCCAUCUCAGUCUUCUUAUAUGGAGACAGGAAGUGGAAGAAGGAACUCUUGUGGGUAGAAAAGCACCAUAGAGGAAUAUAUCACUCAUCUAAAAGGUCUGAGGACUUGAUUAUUUAGAUUAGAAGCUCAUACAUAUAGUUGAGGUGAGUAUGGAGGACUUAAUGAGAGUAAGAAGCAUGGAGAGAGAGGUGAGAUAUUUUGCCCUAAGAAGAGUCAAGAAAAAUAUCCAGAAUGGACAUGUGGCAUCUCUUAUUAAAGACAGCUCCACAGAUGUCAAAACACUGCACCUUUCCUUCAAUUUCCAUUUUCAUUUCCAUCAACUCUAAUCACCUCCCAACACCCCCUUCCUCACCAAGCAUACAUGUACACCAUUUCAGUCAGACAUUGGAUUGGCUCUUGACUUCUUACCAUCAGAUUUCUAUGUGAAAGAGACAUAUAUUUCUCCUUUGUGUGAAUUGCUGUUAGUUUGAACUCUGCUACAACUCAACUUAACUCUAAAUGAUAUAAGACUAGGAGCCAUGUUUUAAAUAUCAGAAUUGAGAAACAUAAUUCAAAGUUAUGAGCCUUUGAAAAAUAUACAGAUAAGUAACUUAAGAUUAGGUUCAUAAAAUCUUUGUGCUUGUUAUAAUUUCAAACCAAGAAGAGUCUUUGAACCUCCAAUGGGUAUCAGGUACUAACUACACUGGACAUUACAAAAAUCAAGGGAUAAGUGAAAUAUUACACCUUCCCUUUAAAAAAUUUGAAGGAUGAGACAACUGCAGAAGGAUUUGCUUCAUGUAUCAGAUGAGGCAUUCUGCUUUGUAGAGGAAACAACAUUUGGAAUGGAUAUGAGAGUAUGGGUAUGAUUUCAGAGAAGUAGUUCAGGAGGUCGUGUUUCUUGAAGAGUUCACAAUAAGAUUCAAGGGCAUGAGUGGAAAACCACUCUCCUCCAUGUCAGUAUUUCCUUUAAUAUCAUCCUCAUUUAGUAAAAGAAUCUCCUUGGUUGCUUAAUCAUGUGAAUUUGAUUCCACAGUUCCUAUUAUCUGUAUGACCUUGGUUAACUCACUUAUCAUCUCUGAAACUCUAUUUCCAAUUUGUAAAAGAGGAAUAAUGAAAUCUGCUGAGUAGAGACUAUUAUGUGUGUACUCCUGGGCACACAGCCAAACUACAUUUCCCUGCCUCCCUUUCUGUUAAGAUGAGGUCAUGUAACUGAGUUCUAGCCAAUGGAAUGUGAGUAAAUGGAUCUGCAUCAUUUCCAGAACAAGGAGGCCCUUCUAGGCAUCUAUGUCUCUUUAUGCUGUUUUCCUUUCUGUUGAGUGGAUUAAUAGUGUGAUAAGAAAAAAAAUGGAGUUCCUGUUAUGGCUUAGUGGAUUAAGAACCCAACUGGUAUUCAUGAGGAUGUGUGUUCAAUCCCUGGCCUCAUUCAGUGGGUCAAGGAUCCAGUGUUGCUGCAGGCUACAGCGUAGUUUGCAGAAGUAGCUAGGAUCCAGUGUUGCCAUGGCUGUGGCUUAGGCCAGCAUCUGUAGCUUGGAUUGGACCCCUAGCCUGGGAACUUCCAUAUGCCUCAGGUGUGGCC